UUGGGAAUCGUUCGCAAUGGGCGCAAGCCUGACGACGCGACGCCGCGUGAAGGAAGAAGGCCUUCGGGUCGUAAACUUCUUUUCCCAGGGACGAUACUGACGGUACCUGGGGAAUAAGGACCGGCUAACUACGUGCCAGCAGCCGCGGUAAGACGUAGGGUCCGAGCAUUAUCCGGAAUCAUUGGGCGUAAAGCGUGGGUAGGUGGUUUGGUAAGUCUUUGGUUAAAGCCUGCAGCUCAACUGCAGAACUGCCAAGGAUACUGCCAGACUUAGAGGCCAGCAGGGGCAAAUGGAAUUCCCGGUGUAGGGGUGAAAUCCGUUGAUAUCGGGAGGAACACCAGUGGCGCAGGCGAUUUGCUAGGUUGGAACUGACACUAAACCACGAAAGCGUGGGGAGCGAAACGG
rnacentral:rRNA from 1 species